rnacentral:rRNA from 1 species
AUUGAACGCUGGCGGCAUGCCUUACACAUGCAAGUCGAACGGUAACGGGCCUUCGGGUGCCGACGAGUGGCGAACGGGUGAGUAAUACAUCGGAACGUGCCCGAUCGUGGGGGAUAACGCGGCGAAAGCUUUGCUAAUACCGCAUACGAUCUACGGAUGAGAGCAGGGGACCGCAAGGCCUUGCGCGGACGGAGCGGCCGAUGGCAGAUUAGGUAGUUGGUGGGAUAAAAGCUUACCAAGCCGACGAUCUGUAGCUGGUCUGAGAGGAUGAUCAGCCACACUGGGACUGAGACACGGCCCAGACUCCUACGGGAGGCAGCAGUGGGGAAUUUUGGACAAUGGGCGCAAGCCUGAUCCAGCCAUGCCGCGUGCAGGAUGAAGGCCUUCGGGUUGUAAACUGCUUUUGUACGGAACGAAAAGCAUUCUUUUAAUACAGGAGGGUCAUGACGGUACCGUAAGAAUAAGCACCGGCUAACUACGUG